CCCUUUCGACUACUUUGUGUGUCUAUUCUACAGAUUUUGAACUCCCUUAUUGAAAAUCCUGGCUCCGCCACUGACUCCAUCAAAGUAACCAAAUCAUAUACAGUUAACACGUUAAACAAAAAAUUAAAAAGGUAUAACCAUAUGUAUUGAUAGUAACAUAGUAAAAUUAGAAGUAUAUAGUUUAGCUAGCCUUCCCCCAACCCUGAAUCAAACAAAGGAGGCAAACAACAACAAUGACAUACCAAUGCAAUCCCAGAAGUAGAAGUGGGUCUAGGGAGGAUGGUGUGUAUGCAUACUUAACCUUACCUUGGGAAGGUAGAGAGAUUGUUUCUGAUAGACUAUGGCUCAAGUAAAUCAUAUAAUAAAAAUGGAGGCAAGGAACCAAUCUUUGGUGGAAAUCUGCCAUCUUUCACUCAACAAAGUAACAAUAGUAUCUUCCAGACUGCGUGUCCAUAAUCCAUUCAUGAUCACAAUCAGUUUUUACAUGAGACAACUUUUAGGUUCAUCAAGAUUUCUCAUCUUGAAAGACGACUCAAAAUUGUACUUCUUGUAUGGUUUUUGUGUUAAAACCGAAUAAUCCAAAACAUACAAAAAUAUCAAAUAAAACCAUCAGAAAGUUCUUUUGAAGUUACUAAUCACCAUAAUAUAUGUUGCCAAGGCUUGUACUCUGCAAGACCAUCUGAUUGUACCUCAUAUUCAUGCCUCAAAGAGAAUGUAAGUGUGAAGAAACUUACAUGAACAACCAACCAUUGAGAGUUGUAAUGUAUUCAUCUACCUUAAUUAACACAAACAUUCAUGCAGCGAGUGAAG
rnacentral:lncRNA from 1 species